rnacentral:rRNA from 1 species
UACGUAGGGUGCGAGCGUUACUCGGAAUUACUGGGCGUAAAGCGUGCGCAGGCGGUCUGUUAAGACAGAUGUGAAAUCCCCGGGCUUAACCUGGGAACUGCAUUUGUGACUGGCAGGCUAGAGUAUGGCAGAGGGGGGUAGAAUUCCACGUGUAGCAGUGAAAUGCGUAGAGAUGUGGAGGAAUACCGAUGGCGAAGGCAGCCCCCUGGGCCAAUACUGACGCUCAUGCACGAAAGCGUGGGGAGCGAACAGG